AGAGUUUGAUCAUGGCUCAGAACGAACGCUGGCGGCAUGCCUAACACAUGCAAGUCGAACGGGAUCCUAGCUUGCUAGGUGAGAGUGGCGGACGGGUGAGUGACACGUGGGAAUCUGCCUUUUGGUUCGGGAUAACCGCGGGAAACUGCGGCUAAUACCGAAUGCCCUCGAGAGAGGAAAGAUUUAUCGCCAGAAGAGGAGCCCGCGUCCGAUUAGGUAGUUGGUGGGGUAAAGGCCUACCAAGCCGACGAUCGGUAGCUGGUCUGAGAGGAUGAUCAGCCACACUGGGACUGAGAUACGGCCCAGACUCCUACGGGAGGCAGCAGUGGGGAAUAUUGGACAAUGGGGGCAACCCUGAUCCAGCAAUGCCGCGUGAGUGAUGAAGGCCUUAGGGUUGUAAAGCUCUUUUGCCAGGGAAGAUGAUGACUGUACCUGGAAAAUAAGCCCCGGCUAACUUCGUG
rnacentral:rRNA from 1 species